UGGCCCAUCGGGGUGACGGAUACCUGCUUUUAAAAUUUU
rnacentral:ncRNA from 1 species